rnacentral:rRNA from 1 species
CAGCCGCCGCGGUAAUACGUAGGGGGCAAGCGUUGUCCGGAAUGACUGGGCGUAAAGGGAGUGUAGGCGGCAAAGCAAGUUAUAUGUGAAAGCCCGUGGCUCAACCACGGAAUUGCAUAUAAAACUGCUUAGCUAGAGUGUGGGAGAGGUAAGUGGAAUUCCUAGUGUAGCGGUGGAAUGCGUAGAUAUUAGGAGGAACACCGGUGGCGAAAGCGGCUUACUGGAACAUAACUGACGCUGAGGCUCGAAAGCGUGGGGAGCAAACAGGAUUAGAUACCCUGGUAGUCCACGCCCUAAACGAUGGAUACUAGACGAGGGGGACCUUAAGUCUUCCGUGUCGCAGCUAACGCACUAAGUAUCCCGCCUGGGGAGUACGGCCGCAAGGCUAAAACUCAAAGAAAUUGACGGGGACCCGCACAAGCAGCGGAGCAUGUGGAUUAAUUCGAAGCAACGCGAAGAACCUUACCAAGGCUUGACAUCGGAUGCAUAGUAUGGAAACAUAUAAAGCCCUUCGGGGCAUCCAGACAGGUGGUGCAUGGCC